rnacentral:tRNA from 1 species
GGGUAUGUGGCUCAGUGGUAGAGCACUUGCCUGGCAUGCAUGAGGCCCUGGGUUCCAUCCCCAGCACCA